rnacentral:rRNA from 1 species
UUCCGGUUGAUCCUGCCGGACCCGACUGCUAUUUGGGUGAGGAUAAGCCAUGCGAGUUGAAUGGGAAACCUAAAGUUCCCAUGGCAAACUGCUCAGUAACACAUGAUCAACUUACCCUAUAGAGAAAAAUAACCUCGGGAAACUGAGGAUAAUGUUUCAUAGUUGAAUUGGCUUGGAAAAGUUUUUCGACGAAAGGGGUAAAAAAAAUGGUUUUUAUCUGCUAUAGGAUAGGAUCGUGUUCGAUUAUGGUUGUUGGUGAGGUAAUGGCUCACCAAGCCGAUAAUCGAUAGGGGCCGUGAGAGCGGGAGCCCCGAGAUGGGUACUGAGACAACGACCCAGGCCUUACGAGGCGCAGCAGGCGCGAAACCUCCGCAAUACACGAAAGUGUGACGGGGUUACCCAAAGUGUUCAAUUUUGAACUGUGGUAGGUGAGUAAUGUUCCCUACUAGAAAGGAGAGGGCAAGGCUGGUGCCAGCCGCCGCGGUAAAACCAGCUCUUCAAGUGGUCGGGAUAAUUAUUGGGCUUAAAGUGUCCGUAGCCGGUUUAGUAAGUUCCCGGUAAAAUCGGGUAGCUUAACUAUCUAUAUGCUAGGAAUACUACUAUACUAGAGGGCGGGAGAGGUCUGAGGUACUACAGGGGUAGGGGUGAAAUCUUAUAAUCCUUGUUGGACCACCAGUGGCGAAGGCGUCAGACUGGAACGCGCCUGACGGUGAGGGACGAAAGCCAGGGGAGCGAACCGGAUUAGAUACCCGGGUAGUCCUGGCCGUAAACGAUGCAUACUAGGUGAUGGCACGGCCAUGAGCCGUGUCAGUGCCGUAGGGAAACCGUUAAGUGUGCCGCCUGGGAAGUACGGUCGCAAGGCUAAAACUUAAAGGAAUUGGCGGGGGAGCACCACAAGGGGUGAAGCCUGCGGUUCAAUUGGACUCAACGCCGGA